rnacentral:lncRNA from 1 species
CUUUUGGCGACAGCUGCGCCGGUGCCAGCCGGGAGCCCGGCUCCAUGGUACCCAGGCAAUGGCUCUGGGCCCCACCACGUUCCGGGCGGCCCUGCGCGCGCGGGGCUGCCCGGCCGCCCGGGGGGCAAGGUGCUGGGGCAGCACGCGUCUCCAGAAAGCGAGCAGCGGGCUGCGCCUCGGCUAAGGGGGCCCACCUGGGGAGGGGGCACGUUCGGGGGGGCGCGGUGUAAAAGCAGGAGGGUGCGGCGGGGAGCGGCUGCGGACGAGCCAGACAGACUGCGCCGACCGAGACGACCUCAGGGCUGGGCCCCGCAGGUGUCCUGGGAACGCACGGCCGUGCGUCGUCCGCGGGCAUCGGGAGGCGGGCAGGAGGGGCCCGCCGACGCCCCGUCACAGCAGACCCCGCGGGAACCAGGGGCGAGGAGGGGGCGAGGAGGGGGCGAGGAGGGGGCGAGGAGGGGGCGAGGAGCGGGCGAGGUUCCCGGAGACGCGCGCCCCCCCGCCUCCCGAGGCGCCCGCCCGCGCGCCCCGCAGGGAUCCGCCGGCGAGCUGGGGUCUGGGGAGGGAGGCUGGCGGGCGGGCGCGCCGGGCACAGGGCCGUGCGGGGCCCCGGGGGAGGCGAGCUGCUGGGGACUUGCGGAGGAGCUGGCGGCCGCGCGGGAGCCAACUUUGUGCGCGGCGGCCGGGCCGGGGCGGGGAGGGGGCCGGGGACGCGUUACCUGGGCACCGGAGCGCGGUCAGCGCCAGCAGGAGCCCGAGCGGCGGCGCCCGGCCCGGGGGCGGCAUGGUCCUCGGCGCGCGGGGGGCGCGGCGCUGCUCCUGUCGCGCGCCCGGCCCGGCCCGGCCCGCGGCUCCCGGGGCGGCUCCCGGGGCGGCCGCGGCGGCUACGCUCGGGCUCGGGGCAUGGCUCGCCCCGGGGCGCCGCUCUUCCCAGACGCAGGCGGCGGGCGCUGGCGGCGCGUCUCGGCUCGCCCUGCGCGCUCGGCGGGGCUCGGCGGGGCUCGGCGGGGCUCGGCGGGGCUCGGCGGGGCUCGGCGGGGCUCGGCCGCGCGCGGCGGGGAGCUGGGCCCGGGGCUCAGAGCCCCACGCCCACGCCGGCGGCCCCGCACUCGGCCCGAGUUGCGCGGGCCCCGCCGCCGCCGCCGCCGCCGCUCCCGCGCCCCAGCGCCCGUCCCAUCGCCGCCGCCGCCGCCGCCGCCGCCCGUGCCAGCGCCAGCGCCAGCUGCCGGCCGCCCCUCGGGCCGCGGAGAGUGA